rnacentral:rRNA from 1 species
UUCCGGUUGAUCUUGCCGGACCCCACUGCUAUCGAGGUGGGACUAAGCCAUGCUAGUCGAACGAACAGAACUAUGUCUGUAAGUGGCAUACUGCUCAGUAACACGUAGCUAACCUACCCUUAGGACGUUGAUAACCCCGAGAAAUUGGGGCUAAUAGGCGAUAGGUGUGAUGUCCUGGAAUGGUAUCACGCCCAAAGGUAUCCCAUACAUGUUUGGUAUACGCCUAAGGAUGGGGCUGCGGCCGAUCAGGCAGUUGGUGAGGUAAUGGCUCACCAAACCUUUGACCGGUACGGGCCAUGAGAGUGGUAGCCCGGAGAUGGACACUGAGACAAGGGUCCAGGCCCUACGGGGCGCAGCAGGCGCGAAACCUCCUCAAUGCACUAACGUGCGAAGGGGUUACCUCGAGUGCCACCUGAAGAAGGUGGCUUUUCCUUGGUCUAAAAAGCCUCGGGAAUAAGAGGGGGGCAAGACUGGUGUCAGCCGCCGCGGUAACACCAGCCCCUCGAGUGGUGGGGAUGAUUAUUUGGCCUAAAGCGUCCGUAGCCGGCCGGGUAAGUCUCCCGUUAAAUCCAGCGUCUCAAGCGUUGGACUGCGGGAGAUACUGCCUGGCUAGAGAGUGGGAGAGGUCAGCGGUAUUCUGGGGGUAGGGGCGAAAUCCUUUGAUCCCCGGAGGACCACCAGUGGCGAAGGCUGCUGACUAGAACACGUCUGACGGUCAGGGACGAAAGCUGGGGUAGCGAACCGGAUUAGAUACCCGGGUAGUCCCAGCCGUAAACGAUGCAUGCUAGGUGUUGGGUUGGCCACGAGCCACCCCAGUGCCGCAGGGAAGCCGUUAAGCAUGCCGCCUGGGAAGUACGAUCGCAAGGUUGAAACUUAAAGGAAUUGGCGGGGGAGCACCACCAGGCGUGAAGCCUGCGGUUUAAUUGGAGUCAACGCCGGG